GGAGUGUCAAAAGUCUUGACUGUCACCACCUCCACGACCGCGUUCCCACCGUAGAGACUGGACAUUUCAUCUGCAAACUGGAAAAGGAAAAGUCAAGAACCUGAGGAAGCUUUGCGUGGAAACCAAAUAAAGCAUUUGCCCCUGUUUCUAGCAGCGACUUGAACACUUGCCAGAUGCUGUGGUUAAAAAGCCCUGCUCCCGGGGGCCAGGAAGUAGAGCCAUGCUCCCAACCUUCAGAAGACGACAAAUGUGAAAAUGGCUCAACAACUGCAAUGUUUUGAGGCCCUGCUGUUCAAUGUUGCUUUGUCUUUAGUAAUUAAAUCUUUCCUCAGGUGCCCACUGUCAACCUCUCGACUCUCUUCUUCUGAGGUCUACGGACAGGGCCUUAUUUAUUGUUUCUUCCCCCGCAUGAAAUACUUUUCUUGGCAAAGACAGGUUCUAGGUGCUCAAUAAAUAGCAAUG